AUUGAACGCUGGCGGCAUGCUUUACACAUGCAAGUCGAACGGUAACAGGCCUUCGGGUGCUGACGAGUGGCGAACGGGUGAGUAAUGCAUCGGAACAUACCCAGUCGUGGGGGAUAACGUAGCGAAAGUUACGCUAAUACCGCAUACGUCCUGAGGGAGAAAGCGGGGGAUCGAAAGACCUCGCGCGAUUGGAGUGGCCGAUGUCAGAUUAGCUAGUUGGUGAGGUAAAGGCUCACCAAGGCGACGAUCUGUAGCGGGUCUGAGAGGAUGAUCCGCCACACUGGGACUGAGACACGGCCCAGACACCUACGGGUGGUUGCAGUCGAGAAUCUUCGGCAAUGGGCGAAAGCCUGACCGAGCGACGCCGCGUGCGGGAUGAAGGCCUUCGGGUUGUAAACCGCUGUCAGUGCGGAGGAAAUAUAGAGGGGUUCUCCCCUUUAUUUGACCUAUGCGCAGAGGAAGGACGGGCUAAGUUCGUGCCAGCAGCCGCAGUAAUAC
rnacentral:rRNA from 1 species